CCGGAGACUGCGCCUGUCAGUGCGUGUCAGUGCGGGAUCAGUCAGGCUGCAGGGCGGCCUUAGUGCCAAUCGAAGCACAUUGGUGGGGUCCCAAACCCAGCUCUGAGACCACCCCUAAGCAUCUGUCCCAAGUCCAGGGUGACAUCCAUGGUUCACAGGGGCAGAACCAGAGCCGUGGAGCAGCAUGGCUUCCGCUAGGGACUUUGAUGAUUCCAUCAAUUCCCUCAAAACCAAAAUGGUAAGAAGUUCAUCCCCCUGUACGGUUGAGGGAAUGGGGAAGCUGGGUGAAACGGAGGAUGUUCUGGCCCAGCUGGGACCCAGGAGUGAAAGGACCAGGCCUCUUUGUCCCAACUCUGUCUCUCUUUACAGUUUCAACUUGUGGAAUUGUUUUGUGAAAACCUUCCAAAGAAAUCUGAAGAAGAGGUGGGUCAGUGCGCUCCCCUGUGUCUGGUUUAAGUGGAGUAGGAUGGCUUUGUUGCAGGAAGGAAGCCCUCUCGCAGCGCCUGAGAGUGGGCUCUUGUCUAACACUCGGAAAUAAUCCU
ensembl:lncRNA